GAUGAACGCUGGCGGCGUGCUUAACACAUGCAAGUCGAACGAAGAAGAGUUGAAUGAGAGCUUCGGCAGGAUUUCUUCUCAUCUUAGUGGCGGACGGGUGAGUAACGUGUGGGCAACCUGCCCUAUACUGGGGAAUAAUCACUGGAAACGGUGACUAAUACCGCAUGUCAUCACCGGAGGGCAUCCUCUGGUGAAAAAAGGAGCAAUUCGGUAUAGGAUGGGCCCGCAUCUGAUUAGCUAGUUGGUGAGAUAACAGCCCACCAAGGCGACGAUCAGUAGCCGACCUGAGAGGGUGAUCGGCCACAUUGGAACUGAGACACGGUCCAAACUCCUACGGGAGGCAGCAGUGGGAAUAUUGCACAAUGGGCGAAAGCCUGAUGCAGCAACGCCGCGUGAAGGAAGAAGGUCUUCGGAUCGUAAACUUCUGUCCUUAGGAAGAUAAUGACGGUACCUUUGGAGGAAGCCCGGCUAACUACGUGCCAG
rnacentral:rRNA from 1 species